rnacentral:rRNA from 1 species
GACACAGGGAGGUAGUGACAAGAAAUAACAAUACGGGGCUUAAUGUCUUGUAAUUGGAAUGAUGGGAAUUUAAACCUCUUCCAGAGUAUCAAUUGGAGGGCAAGUCUGGUGCCAGCAGCCGCGGUAAUUCCAGCUCCAAUAGCGUAUAUUAAAAUUGUUGCAGUUAAAAAGCUCGUAGUUGAAUUUCUGCUGCAUUGCAUCUUCUUUUUGAUGAGUUGGCGUAUUGUGGCUUAUUUCGGAUGAUACUUGUAUUAUCCGGAUGAUUACUUUGAGAAAAUUAGAGUGCUCAAAGCAGGCUUUUGCCUUGAAUAGUUUAGCAUGGAAUAAUAAAGUAGGACUUUGGUUCUAUUUUGUUGGUUUUAGGUACCAAAGUAAUGGUUAAUAGGAACAGUUGGGGGCAUUCGUAUUUAACUGUCAGAGGUGAAAUUCUUAGAUUUGUUAAAGACGAACUACUGCGAAAGCAUUUGCCAAGGAUGUUUUCAUUAAUCAAGAACGAAAGUUAGGGGAUCGAAGA